AUGCCGCGUGAGUGAUGAAGGCCUUCGGGUUGUAAAGCUCUUUCGCACGCGACGAUGAUGACGGUAGCGUGAGAAGAAGCCCCGGCUAACUUCGUGCCAGCAGCCGCGGUAAUACGAAGGGGGCUAGCGUUGUUCGGAAUUACUGGGCGUAAAGGGCGCGUAGGCGGUGUGUCAAGUCAGGCGUGAAAGCCCCGGGCUCAACCUGGGAACAGCGCUUGAGACUGGCACGCUCGAGUUCGGGAGAGGAUGGUGGAAUUCCCAGUGUAGAGGUGAAAUUCGUAGAUAUUGGGAAGAACACCGAUGGCGAAGGCAGCCAUCUGGACCGACACUGACGCUGAGGCGCGAAAGCGUGGGGAGCAAACAGGAUUAGAUACCCUGGUAGUCCACGCCGUAAACGAUGAGUGCUAGACGUCGGGAUCCUUAGGAUUUCGGUGUCGCAGCUAACGCAUUAAGCACUCCGCCUGGGGAGUACGGCCGCAAGGUUAAAACUCAAAUGAAUUGACGG
rnacentral:rRNA from 1 species